GACGAGGGAUCCUAGCGUUGCUCGGAAUCAUUGGGCGUAAAGCGGGUGUAGGUGGCUUGGUAAGUCAGGUGUGAAAGCCCAGGGCUCAACCCUGGAAGUGCAUUUGAAACUGCUAAGCUUGAGUGCUAGAGAGGUUAUUAGAAUACCUGGUGUAGUGGUGAAAUACGUAGAUAUCAGGUGGAACACCGGAGGCGAAGGCGGAUAACUGGCUAGACACUGACACUGAGACCCGAAAGUGUGGGGAUCAAACAGG
rnacentral:rRNA from 1 species